CCCUUAGAUGUUCUGGGCCGCACACGCGCUACACUGAAGGAGGCAGCGUGUACUCCUGGAUCGAAAGAUUUGGGUAACCCGCGAAUCUCCUUCGUGCUAGGGAUUGAGGUUUGCAAUUAUCCUUCAUGAACGAGGAAUUCCCAGUAAGUGCAAGUCAUAAGCUUGCGCUGACUACGUCCCUGCCCUUUGUACACACCGCCCGUCGCUACUACCGAUUGAAUGAUUUAGUGGGGACUUCGGACUGGGACCGAUGCGGCUUUCGGGCUGCGUCGGUAUUCUGGAAAGAUGUCCAAACUGUAUCAUUUAGAGGAAGUAAAAGUCGUAACA
rnacentral:rRNA from 1 species